rnacentral:rRNA from 1 species
UGGGGAAUUUUGGACAAUGGGCGAAAGCCUGAUCCAGCAAUGCCGCGUGUGUGAAGAAGGCCUUCGGGUUGUAAAGCACUUUUGUCCGGAAAGAAAUCCUUGGCUCUAAUACAGUCGGGGGAUGACGGUACCGGAAGAAUAAGCACCGGCUAACUACGUGCCAGCAGCCGCGGUAAUACGUAGGGUGCAAGCGUUAAUCGGAAUUACUGGGCGUAAAGCGUGCGCAGGCGGUUUGCUAAGACCGAUGUGAAAUCCCCGGGCUCAACCUGGGAACUGCAUUGGUGACUGGCAGGCUAGAGUAUGGCAGAGGGGGGUAGAAUUCCACGUGUAGCAGUGAAAUGCGUAGAGAUGUGGAGGAAUACCGAUGGCGAAGGCAGCCCCCUGGGCCAAUACUGACGCUCAUGCACGAAAGCGUGGGGAGCAAACAGGAUUAGAUACCCUGGUAGUCCACGCCCUAAACGAUGUCAACUAGUUGUUGGGGAUUCAUUUCCUUAGUAACGUAGCUAACGCGUGAAGUUGACCGCCUGGGGAGUACGGCCGCAAGAUUAAAACUCAAAGGAAUUGACGGGGUCAUAGCUG